AUUGAACGCUGGCGGCAGGCCUAACACAUGCAAGUCGAACGAGUGGCGGACGGGUGAGUAAUGUCUGGGAAACUGCCUGAUGGCGGGGGAUAACUACUGGAAACGGUAGCUAAUACCGCAUACCAUCGGAUGUGCCCAGAUGGGAUUAGCUUGUUGGUGGGGUAACGGCUCACCAAGGCGACGAUCCCUAGCUGGUCUGCGAGGAUGACCAGGCACACUGGAACUGAGACACGGUCCAGACUCCUACGGGAGGCAGCAGUGGGGGAUAUUGCACAAUGGGCGCAAGGCUGAUGCAGCCAUGCCGCGUGUAUGAAGAAGGCCUUCGGGUUGUAAAGUACUUUAAGCGGGGAAGCGGUACCCGCAGAAGAAGCAGAGGCUAACUCCGAGCCAGCAGCCGCGGUAAUUC
rnacentral:rRNA from 1 species